UACGGAGGGGGCGAGCGUUAUUCGGAAUUAUUGGGCGUAAAGGGCGCGUAGGCGGCUGAACAAGUCAAAGGGGAAAUCCCUCGGCUCAACUGAGGAACUGCCUUUGAAACUGUUCGGCUUGAGGCCGGGAGGGGGUAGCGGAAUUCCCAGUGUAGCGGUGAAAUGCGUAGAUAUUGGGAGGAACACCAGUGGCGAAGGCGGCUACCUGGACCGGUUCUGACGCUGAGGCGCGAAAGCGUGGGUAGCAAACAGG
rnacentral:rRNA from 1 species